rnacentral:rRNA from 1 species
AGCGAACGCUGGCGGCAGGCCUAACACAUGCAAGUCGAACGAACUCUUCGGAGUUAGUGGCGGACGGGGGAGUAACACGUGGGAACGUGCCUUUAGGUUCGGAAUAACUCAGGGAAACUUGUGCUAAUACAGAAUGUGCCCUUCGGGGGAAAGAUUUAUCGCCUUUAGAGCGGCCCGCGUCUGAUUAGCUAGUUGGUGAGGUAAAGGCUCACCAAGGCGACGAUCAGUAGCUGGUCUGAGAGGAUGAUCAGCCACAUUGGGACUGAGACACGGCCCAAACUCCUACGGGAGGCAGCAGUGGGGAAUCUUGCGCAAUGGGCGAAAGCCUGACGCAGCCAUGCCGCGUGAAUGAUGCAGGUCUUAGGAUUGUAAAAUUCUUUCACCGGGGACGAUAAUGACGGUACCCGGAGAAGAAGCCCCGGCUAACUUCGUG